AUGGACAUCAAGAUGGAGUCACAGACUCAGGUUUUCAUAUUCCUAUUGCUGUGGUUGUCUGGUGCUGAUGGAGACAUUGUGAUGACCCAGUCUCCCAAAUCCAUGUCUACAUCAGUAGGAGACAGGAUCUCCCUGACCUGCAAGGCCAGUCAGAAUGUGAAUAGUUAUGUAGCCUGGUACCAACAGAAACCAGGGCAGUCGCCUAAGUCUCUGAUCUAUGGGGCAUCCAACCGGUACACUGGGGUCCCUGAUCGCUUCACAGGCAGUGGAUCUGGGACAGAUUUCACUCUCACCAUUAGCAGUGUGCAGGCUGAAGACCUAGCCAUUUAUUACUGUCAGCAGUCAUAUUCACAAUACACUUCUAAUUGGGCCAUGCGCUUCAAAAGGCUGCUGUUCUAA